rnacentral:rRNA from 1 species
AUGGUCGAAAUGUUCAACAAGGCUCUCAAAAGGAGCCGACGAGCCGUGAUGAUGAAUGGGGACAUUGCUGAGGUCAACGAUGCUGUUGGAGUUGAAGCUGUGAAUGGUGCUGUGCCUACAUCGGUUGACAAUGCUGAUGUGGAGAGCGAAAAUCCUGAGAACACUGUAGUGUCUGCGCAGGUGGACGAGUAUGUGAAUAUUGAUGAUGAGAUGUCAACUGCAACUUACCAAUCAGUGGAGAUCGAGAAGGGUGCUAAGGUCAUGAGUGUCUCUGGUGGUUCGGGUAGUGGAUCUUCGUCAUCCAGUGGAUCAGGGUCAGGGAGCUCAGGGGACAGCACCUCAGAUGGCAAUGCUCGUUCUCUGGUGUAG